UUUUCAGGCCUUUGCAGCCUCUCUGAGGCUUCCCACGUCUGCCACUCGGAAGGGAUGAUGUACUUAAGGCAGGAGAGAACUUUCAAAAGCCGGGGGACUCAGGUUCUCCUAAUUCACAAUUUUGCCGGGGGGAAAGUCCUGUCCUUCACGCUUGGUGAAAGAGAUCCUGGUUCUUUGAUGUCUCGCUGCCUCUGUUCUCAGCUUCGGACGAGAGACCCUGUCCUCCUGAAUCUGUUGCCAGGUUCAGAGGCCUUGGAGCUCUGCUUCUGACCCUCCGAGCAAUUAAAGAACAGCAAGCUAGGUUAUUGGCUACUUUCUGUUGCCCUUUACACAACCUGGAUUGAAGAAGACACCCCAUAAACUCAGGUCUCAUUAAAAUCCUGGUCUUCAAACAUAAGAAUCUAUUUGAACGCUGUUCUUAAAGCUUCAGGAGGAAAUGACUUCUCCAGUGUUCUUUGGUCUUCUGCGUGCCCCGCCUUCAGGUGAA
rnacentral:lncRNA from 1 species